rnacentral:rRNA from 1 species
UACGAAGGGUGCAAGCGUUACUCGGAAUUACUGGGCGUAAAGCGUGCGUAGGUGGUUUGUUAAGUCUGUUGUGAAAGCCCCGGGCUCAACCUGGGAAUGGCAAUGGAUACUGGCAGGCUAGAGUGCGGUAGAGGGUAGUGGAAUUCCCGGUGUAGCGGUGAAAUGCGUAGAGAUCGGGAGGAACACCAGUGGCGAAGGCGGCACUCUGGGCCGGUACUGACGCUGAGGAGCGAAAGCGUGGGGAGCGAACAGG